GACGAACGCUGGCGGCGUGCUUAACACAUGCAAGUCGAACGGAAAGGCCCUGCUUUUGUGGGGUGCUCGAGUGGCGAACGGGUGAGUAACACGUGAGUAACCUGCCCUUGACUUUGGGAUAACUUCAGGAAACUGGGGCUAAUACCGGAUAGGAGCUCCUGCUGCAUGGUGGGGGUUGGAAAGUUUCGGCGGUUGGGGAUGGACUCGCGGCUUAUCAGCUUGUUGGUGGGGUAGUGGCUUACCAAGGCUUUGACGGGUAGCCGGCCUGAGAGGGUGACCGGCCACAUGGGGACUGAGAUACGGCCCAGACUCCUACGGGAGGCAGCAGUGGGGAAUAUUGCAAAAUGGGCGGAAGCCUGAUGCAGAAACGCCGGGGGGGGGAUGACGGCCUUCGGGUGGUAAACCGCUUUCGCCUGGGACGAAGCGUGAGUGACGGUAAUGGGUAAAGAAGCACCGGCUAACUACGU
rnacentral:rRNA from 1 species